rnacentral:rRNA from 1 species
GACGAACGCUGGCGGCGUGCUUAACACAUGCAAGUCGAACGGAAAGGCCCUUCGGGGUACUCGAGUGGCGAACGGGUGAGUAACACGUGGGUGAUCUGCCCUGCACUUUGGGAUAAGCCUGGGAAACUGGGUCUAAUACCGAAUAGGACCACGCGCUUCAUGGUGUGUGGUGGAAAGCUUUUGCGGUGUGGGAUGGGCCCGCGGCCUAUCAGCUUGUUGGUGGGGUAAUGGCCUACCAAGGCGACGACGGGUAGCCGGCCUGAGAGGGUGACCGGCCACACUGGGACUGAGAUACGGCCCAGACUCCUGCGGGAGGCAGCAGUGGGGAAUAUUGCACAAUGGGCGCAAGCCUGAUGCAGCGACGCCGCGUGAGGGAUGACGGCCUUCGGGUUGUAAACCUCUUUCACCAGGGACGAAGCGUAAGUGGCGGUACCUGGAGAAGAAGCACCGGCCAACUACGUG